rnacentral:rRNA from 1 species
GACGAACGCUGGCGGCGUGCUUAACACAUGCAAGUCGAACGAAGAGCGAUGGAAGCUUGCUUCUAUCAAUCUUAGUGGCGAACGGGUGAGUAACGCGUAAUCAACCUGCCCUUCAGAGGGGGACAACAGUUGGAAACGACUGCUAAUACCGCAUACGAUCCAAUCUCGGCAUCGAGGAUGGAUGAAAGGUGGCCUCUAUU